rnacentral:rRNA from 1 species
GUGGGGAAUAUUGGACAAUGGGGGGAACCCUGAUCCAGCCAUGCCGCGUGUGUGAAGAAGGCCUUUUGGUUGUAAAGCACUUUAAGCGAGGAGGAGGCUACCGAGAUUAAUACUCUUGGAUAGUGGACGUUACUCGCAGAAUAAGCACCUGCUAACUCUGUGCCAGCAGCCGCGGUAAUACAGAGGGUGCAAGCGUUAAUCGGAUUUACUGGGCGUAAAGCGCGCGUAGGUGGCCAAUUAAGUCAAAUGUGAAAUCCCCGAGCUUAACUUGGGAAUUGCAUUCGAUACUGGUUGGCUAGAGUAUGGGAGAGGAUGGUAGAAUUCCAGGUGUAGCGGUGAAAUGCGUAGAGAUCUGGAGGAAUACCGAUGGCGAAGGCAGCCAUCUGGCCUAAUACUGACACUGAGGUGCGAAAGCAUGGGGAGCAAACAGGAUUAGAAACCCGUGUAGUCC